rnacentral:pre_miRNA from 1 species
UUAACUCAAAUUUGUGUGAAGCCGGAACGUUUGCCGCUAGGAGCGCUGUUCCAACUGCAUACAAAUCUGAGUUA